rnacentral:misc_RNA from 1 species
AAAGAAAUCAGUUCUGGAGAAAGUAAGGAGGCAGCUGCUUCUGCUGGAUCUCUUGGAGGCAAGGGUAUUUUACCUACACGUAAGGAGAAUGGAAAUCAGCCUUAGAAGGAGUCCAACAUUGCUGGAUCUAUGAUUGCAAUUAAAGGUGUAUGCUUUUGGGACACUACCUUUGAAGCCUCGAGUAUCGGAUGGAGCUGACAGAACUUCUAUCCUUAACAAGCAAAGCGGAAGAAAAUGAUGCUUGUGGAGAAUAGAGAUGAUCAAGUCACUUGAAGGUAUUCUAAUUCAAAUGCUUUCAUCUAUGCAUAGAGUUGUUUGUUGGUGUGUGCAGAAUUUGUUUUUCAUCAUGAGGAGGCUUGAAGUGAGAUGGCCAAUUAUGCUUUUGCAGUUGCUGAUGGAUAGAUCAUUUAUUUUUAAGCGUAAAAGAAUACCUAUUUUGUUUAUUUUAAGAAUACUCUACUUGAACUUUGUUGUGUAAUUAUUCUGGUUA